UGGGGAAUAUUGCACAAUGGGCGCAAGCCUGAUGCAGCCAUGCCGCGUGUGUGAAGAAAGCCUUCGGGUUGUAAAGCACUUUCAGCGGGGAGGAAGGCGGUGAGGUUAAUAACCUCAUCGAUUGACGUUACCCGCAGAAGAAGCACCGGCUAACUCCGUGCCAGCAGCCGCGGUAAUACGGAGGGUGCAAGCGUUAAUCGGAAUUACUGGGCGUAAAGCGCACGCAGGCGGUUUGUUAAGUCAGAUGUGAAAUCCCCGGGCUCAACCUGGGAACUGCAUCUGAUACUGGCAAGCUUGAGUCUCGUAGAGGGGGGUAGAAUUCCAGGUGUAGCGGUGAAAUGCGUAGAGAUCUGGAGGAAUACCGGUGGCGAAGGCGGCCCCCUGGACGAAGACUGACGCUCAGGUGCGAAAGCGUGGGGAGCAAACAGG
rnacentral:rRNA from 1 species